AAAUUGAUUGUGCCCUAAACAUGAGAGAAUCACAGCAUCUUCCGAUGAAAAAAACCCUAAAUCUUCAUACGAGCUUAAUCAACGCCGCCACCACCACCUGUAUGCGUGAUUCUUUCAAGGGUUUGCAUCUCUUUCUGUUGGAACCCUUAAUCAGUCGCCGGUUUCUGAAUCGCAACAGAUAUGUUUCAGAUUUUUUUAGUUUUUUUCUUUUGAUUCAAAUUGUUAAUCGCCUCAUUCAAGUUCACAUUUUUUUUGUAUUAUUUCCCCCUACCCUGUUUGAGUGAUCCUAUUAAUUUUAGAUUAGUUAGCAUAGAUGAUACAUCUAUGUCGUUUUGUUGAAGAUUUAAACGAGUAUGAUUGAUAAAAACUGAUUGAAUUGAUAAUAUAGCAAGAAUUAUAACCAA